rnacentral:tRNA from 1 species
GCUGUUAUAGCUCAACAGGCAGAGCACUCGCCUCUUAAGCGAUAGGUUCAGGGUUCGAUUCCCUGUGGCAGCA